GGCACAAUGAACUUACAUGGUGCUCUUCAUGUACGAGCCACCAAGGUGGGGUCCAGUACAGUCUUGAGUCAGAUAAUUUCUUUGGUUGAGACAGCGCAGAUGUCUAAAGCUCCUAUUCAGAAAUUUGCCGACUAUGUUUCCAGCAUAUUCGUACCCACCGUUGUUCUCAUGUCAUUGUUGACGUUCUUAGGAUGGUUCAUCUGCGGGUCAAUCGGAGCAU
rnacentral:misc_RNA from 1 species